GGCCCCUUAGCUCAGUUGGUCAGAGCAGGCGACUCAUAAUCGCUUGGUCACUGGUUCAAGUCCAGUAGGGGCCA
rnacentral:tRNA from 2 species